ACAGAGGUCCCAAGCGUUGUUCGGAUUUACUGGGCGUAAAGGGCGCGUAGGCGGUCAGCACAAGUCAGUUGUGAAAUCUCCGGGCUUAACUCGGAAAGGUCAACUGAUACUGUGCGACUAGAGUGCAGAAGGGGCAACUGGAAUUCUCGGUGUAGCGGUGAAAUGCGUAGAUAUCGAGAGGAACACCUGUGGCGAAGGCGGCCCCCUGGUUGGAUACUGACGCUGAUACGCGAAAGCGUGGGGAGCAAACAGGA
rnacentral:rRNA from 1 species